GACGAACGCUGGCGGCGUGCUUAACACAUGCAAGUCGAACGGAAAGGCCCUGCUUUUGUGGGGUGCUCGAGUGGCGAACGGGUGAGUAACACGUAAGUAACCUGCCCUUGACUUUGGGAUAACUUCAGGAAACUGGGCCUAAUCCCGGAUAGGAGCUCCUCCUCCAUGGUGGGGGUUGGAACGUUUCGGCGGUUGGGGAUGGACUCGCGGCUUAUCAGCUUGUUGGUGGGGUAGUGGCUUACCAAGGCUUGGACGGGUAGCCGGCCUGGGAGGGUGACCGGCUACAUUGGCACUGGGAUACGGCCCAGACGCCUACGGGAGGCAGGAGUGGGGAAUAUUGCACAAUGGGCGGAAGCCUGAUGCAGCAACGCCGCGUGCGGGAUGGCGGCCUUCGGGUUGUAAAACGAUUUCGCCUGUGACGAAGCGUGAGUGACGGUAAUGGGUAAAGAAGCACCGGCUAACUACGU
rnacentral:rRNA from 1 species